UGGGGAAUAUUGCACAAUGGGCGCAAGCCUGAUGCAGCCAUGCCGCGUGUAUGAAGAAGGCCUUCGGGUUGUAAAGUACUUUCAGCGGGGAGGAAGGGAGUAAAGUUAAUACCUUUGCUCAUUGACGUUACCCGCAGAAGAAGCACCGGCUAACUCCGUGCCAGCAGCCGCGGUAAUACGGAGGGUGCAAGCGUUAAUCGGAAUUACUGGGCGUAAAGCGCACGCAGGCGGUUUGUUAAGUCAGAUGUGAAAUCCCCGUGCUCAACCUGGGAACUGCAUCUGAUACUGGCAAGCUUGAGUCUCGUAGAGGGGGGUAGAAUUCCAGGUGUAGCGGUGAAAUGCGUAGAGAUCUGGAGGAAUACCGGUGGCGAAGGCGGCCCCCUGGACGAAGACUGACGCUCAGGUGCGAAAGCGUGGGGAGCAAACAGG
rnacentral:rRNA from 1 species